UUCGCAAUGCCCGAAAGGGUGACGAAGCGACGCCGCGUGGGUGAGGAAGGCCUUCGGGUUGUAAAGCCCUGUCAGGAGUUAAGAAAUGUAGGUGCGCUAAUAUCGUGCCUAUUUGACAAAGGCUCCAAAGGAAGCCACGGCUAACUCUGUGCCAGCAGCCGCGGUAAUACAGAGGUGGCAAGCGUUGUUCGGAAUUAUUGGGCGUAAAGAGCACGUAGGUGGUUUUGUAAGUCAGGUGUGAAAGCCUUCUGUUCAAAGGAAGAACGGCAUCUGAAACUGCAGAUCUUGAGUGUAGGAGGGGAGAGUGGAACUUCUGGUGGAGCGGUGAAAUGCGUAGAUAUCAGAAGGAACGUCGGCGGCGAAAGCGACUCUCUGGCCUAUUACUGACACUGAGGUGCGAAAGUUAGGGGAGCAAACGGGAUUAGAUACCCCGGUAGUCCUAACCGUAAACGAUGGGCACUAAGUAGAGGGGUUUU
rnacentral:rRNA from 1 species